rnacentral:rRNA from 1 species
AUUGAACGCUGGCGGCAUGCUUUUCACAUGCAAGUCGAACGGUAACAGGCCGCAAGGUGCUGACGAGUGGCGAACGGGUGAGUAAUGCAUCGGAACGUGCCCAGUCGUGGGGGAUAACGCAGCGAAAGCUGUGCUAAUACCGCAUACGAUCUAUGGAUGAAAGCGGGGGACCGUAAGGCCUCGCGCGAUUGGAGCGGCCGAUGUCAGAUUAGCUAGUUGGUGGGGUAAAGGCCCACCAAGGCGACGAUCUGUAGCUGGUCUGAGAGGACGACCAGCCACACUGGGACUGAGACACGGCCCAGACUCCUACGGGAGGCAGCAGUGGGGAAUUUUGGACAAUGGGCGCAAGCCUGAUCCAGUAAUGCCGCGUGCAGGAAGAAGGCCUUCGGGUUGUAAACUGCUUUUGUACGGAACGAAACGGUCUGGGUUAAUACCCUGGGCUAAUGACGGUACCAUAAGAAUAAGCACCGGCUAACUACGUGCCAGCCGCCGCUGUAA